rnacentral:lncRNA from 1 species
UAGGACACCGACCCUUAACCCUCACCCCACUCACGUGUCCCACACAAAUACACACAUUCUCAUCAAUACAAAGAGAGGAUUUUUCUAUUUUUGGAUUUGGGCAUUCAUAGACACACGGGGGCCCACAGGGAAUAUUGGAUAACUUCCGUUCUUUCAUAUUGAAAACAAAUAUAUACAACACACUACAUUCAAAGAGGGGACCCAAACAUAUCAUUCCACUGUUAACAAAUUGACACAAAGAACAAAAAGAGGAACCGAGAACACAACAACCUCUCCAUAUUUUUGAAAGAUACCAUCAGAAAAUAGAUGGACUUCAUCAUCAUCUCAUCUUCUCCAAGAGAAAACUCACAAAAACAAAACAGAGAGAGACCACCAUUACACAACCUCCAUUUUACAUUCAAGAGACUCACUCAUUUUAUAGGCACAAACGCUCACCGAUACACCACUCAUCACGACCAUGGAUUGAAUUCUCAUACACACAGCUAUAGAAAUACAUGCUAAGAAGGAGGAGAGAAGGGAUUAGAUCGAAAAAAAAUAGCUCUUCUUCACAACCCGCACACACAGACACACCGAAUUACGCACACACUCUUCAUGAUACACUGAUUCAUACGCAUAAUUGGAGAUGGACGAAAGAGGAGAGAUGAGGGUUGAGGGAGAAACAUAAAUUUGGCGUUUGUGUUACUGUUCUGGCGACGGUCUCAUCGAAAAAGCUUUGUUACUGCAUUAUUCACGGUUCGUAUUUAUCUUUAUCGAAUCCGUCAAGCUCCGGUGCAGCUAACUCAUAAACAAAAACAUGAUUCUAUCAUCUUGAGUGCACUGUCCGGUCAAUUUUGAAUGAAAAAUAGUUCUUUAUAUUGAUCCUUAUUAUCCGUUCAAUAUGGGGGUUCCAUCUGUUGUCAAAUUGUUUAGGUUUAGGCUUAUUUUUACUCUUGGGUGUUGAGAUUGGAAUUUCUUUGUUGGGAUUUUUGUUUGGAGGUUUGUUAUUUUCGUUCAAAAUUAUCGAUUCGGGGGGUAUAUUGAGUGGUGUUGCUGCUUUCGAAUUUGUUCGGAAUGGGAUUUGCAAUAUCGAGCUAGUGUUGAUCGUUUUGAGGCUUUUGGUUGAGGAUUUCGGACUUCAGCUUUCAUCGAUUCAUUAUUAUCAGUGAAAAAUCUACUCUUUUGAAGUCCAAUUCUCCCCUCUCUUCCUUUAUUUUAAUUUUGAUGCAAUUGUGGAUGUGAUUCGAUCUCUUUGUCCUAUUAGUUUGGAUUAAUUUGGGUGAUGUUUGAUGUUGUUUGGUUUUGAAUAAUUGAUCUCAAUGGCAUAAAUAUGAUGAUAAUAUGAAUUUGGGUUUGUAUCAAAAAAGUAAUUUGGGAUGGGAAUUGAAAGAUUGGUAAAAUGAUUUUGGUUUAAUUUUGAUUUAUUGAUUAUGUUAAUUUCGUUGAACUUGAUAGUACCAUGUCUUAGGUUGGGCAUCGAUAGACAAAUUCUAAGUUUUGGGGCAGGCAACUUAUAGGAUUCUAAUCAUCAAAUGUGUAAUUAUUUGUGCUGAGUGAUUUUCUUUAUUUUUAUCGUAAUUCAUUAAAGGUAUUUAUUUAGCCGGGGAAUGCCCUGAAGCUCAUUUGUAUUUAUUCACUGGGAAAUGCCCUGACGCAUUAUGUUGGCGGAAGAUGUUCGUGAUCAAGACCCAGGGCACCGGGUGGAGCGUAGUUUAGUAUUAGUGUAGGUUUACAUUUCAGUUCUUUCUAUUUUGGGUUUGUAGUAAUUGGACUGAACAUUAACUUUUGGAUUUUUGUUUGUUUGGUUUGGUUGUUUUAUGUGUUUUGUGGUUUAAACAUUCAUAAUGUCAUACUAGCCGAUAUGCUCCACCAAGCGAUCGUAGUCGAACCAUGGGAUCGAUAGGUGCCUAACACCUUCCCCUCGGUCAACAGAAUUCCUUAGCCGAAAUUUCUGUUCGCAAACCAGUUUUAAGAGAGUAAAACCAUUUGAAAAGGAUUUUUCAAAAGGUGACUUGGCACACCGGAUUUAUGCCAAGUGGCAACUCUGAGUUUUGAAUAUAAAAGGUCCUUUUCGAAAUAAUUAUCUUCAUUGUCACUUUAAUAAUAAAAACCCUUUCGAACUCUAAAAUCUAGCUCUUUUGGGAGUUAAAAAGGGGGUGGACAGCUCUGGCGACUCUGCUGGGGAUCUUUUUCAGAAUUAGAGCUUAUUUUUAGAGUUGUAUCGACUUUGUUUGGCAUUAUGGGUGUAUAGACAUUGUUUGUGUUAUUUUGUGCUAUAGUUUAUCAUUGUUGAGUAUCUACAUGCUCUUUGUUUACAGUUUUACUUUAUGUGUUACCGCUUUAUAUCUGGCAUCAUGCGCACAACCCGAGUCAUUCUUUCUGCAACAAGCCUGUAGUACACGUGUUAUGCACGACCUCUAGUUGAGUCACCCUUAUUUUAGGAGGGUGAGCCGUCGGUGUUAUGGAGUGGGUGGAAAGCUCUCGCAGCUACUAUCGACCAUACACACCCCCGAACAGCCUUGUUAGUGAACCCCAGUGUAGGUCAGCCUUUAGGUCAUGCUUAUCUGCAUCAUAUUGAAACCUAGUUGGACCCACUUGGUUCUUUGUAGAAGACUCACCUUUAAAGCAUCCGUACGUGCUAAAUGUUGCAUCUCUGAGGGUAGCGUGGUCAUUUGACGGAUCGAUUUGGGAAAAAUAUGUGUUAGAAGUAAAGUGUGUGUACAAGAACGUGUUGAAAAAAAGGAGAAAAAGAAAAGGUGAGUAAAAAAAGAGUGUUUCGUAAGUUUUUAAAUUCUUUAUGGCUUUUGAUUUUUUUUUUCACAAUUCAAAAAUUUUUAAAAAAAUUUUUUUUACCUUUCGCACUCAUUUUUUCAAAAAUAUUAAAAAGAUUUUCCUUUGUCUCGUUUAGCAUGCAUUAACAAUUCAAAAACUUCAAAAAAAAAAAAUUCAUUCAUAGGAGUUUUUAUAAAAGAAAAAUGCAAUAAAAGAUGUUAGAAAUUUUUUACAUUUCGUAUAACGAAAAUACCAAAAAGAUUUUUCUUUCAUAGUUGUUGAUGUCAUUUUUGUGUGAAGUGUCAAAUUAAAAAUCCUAAAAGAUUUUAUUUUCACCGUGCAGUCGUGUGUCUCAAGGUUUUAUUUGUUCUAUAAUCCUUAAUUGUCCAAUCUGGACGAACUACGCACCCCUGAUUGUCCUCUCUCGGGAGUGAGAUACGUAGACAACCUAUUGUUGGUUCGGGGAUCUUAUUUAAAAAAAAAAAAGAUUUUCUUCUCCUCAUUGAGAGUGGGUGUUUCAUAUAUGCCUUGAAAAGAAAAAUACAAAAAGAUUUUCCUUAAUAAUCGUAGGUUUUAUUUUUGGUGGAUCUUAUUUGAAAAAUUCAAAAAGAUUUUCCUUUAAUAGGUUUAAAUUUCAUUUUUGUAUGAAACUCAAAAUCAAAAAUCCAAAAAGAUUUUUCUUUGGUAAUCAUAGGUUUCAUUUUGUAUAGGGAGUUUAAACUUGAAAAAUGCAAAAAGAUUUUCGUCAAUUCUUUUGACAAUUUGUUAUUUCCUUUUCUUUUUAAAGUUUCAAGAAAAAGAAAAGAAAAAGAGUUUAAUUGGCCAUUUUGACAAGACUUUACGAACUACGCACACCUGAUUCUCCCCUCUCGGGGGUGAGAUACGUAGGCGCCCUUCUUGGGUUCGGUGAUCUUUUCAAAAAUAAAAAAUAAAAUAAAAAAAAAGAGGUUUUGAAAAAUGUUGAACUCUAGCAUAUUUGUUGCCUCUUGUUCAGUUAGUUUAAGGUGGUUGGUUUGUGGCUUCCUGGCUGGUCCUCCACAUCACACCAAAUCCAAGGAAGGUUUAGUUGUGUCCAACAAGGAUAUAGAGAGUGGCACCAUGGAUGAAACAAAGAGUCAGGAAAUUGAGAGUUUAAAGGAAGAGAAUUUGAGACUGAGACAACAAAUGAUGAAAAUGUACCGAGCUUGGGCCAGUAGGCUGCCUCCAUCUCCGUUCCCUACUUUUGACCCUGCAAAUACCGUGAGUCUUCUACCAAAAUCGCAAAGUCAGUUUCCUACUAUUAUUGAUGCAUCAUAGCAUUUCUCAAAAUCCAUUCCACGUCAAAUGCACCUUAAUACUUCCACCACUCUUUCUUUAGCUCCUCAGUAUAAGUCUACCACAUUCACAGCAUCACAUACCGUCUGUGUUUUUAUUUCUCAACCUUCUACUAAGACUUUCACUUUAGCUAUCAAUUCAACGAUUGUGUUUCUCCAGUCCACUAGUGAACCCACGUUCAAUACUCUUGAUGAUCAUACUCUUGAUCCUACCGUUAAAUUAAGUGGACCGCCAAAAUUUUCUACUAAGAAGCCUAGCAUGCUAGAAGAGUUAGAAAAAGUGGUUGAGAAAGUUAAGAGUUAGAAAAAGUGGUUGAGAAAGUUAAGAGUGUAGAAAAUGAUAUGAAAAAUUCCCCUGGACUUAUGGGCUAUGAAAAUGUUUUAUAUAAAAACUGGGGCAUGUCUUCAAGUGUUAACCUUCCUCCCAGCUUUGAGACAUCAAAAUUUGGGGAGCCUCCAGAGUUUGAGAGGUCCAACCCAUGAAUACUGUCAGCCUCAAUCCCGAGCUUACAUAUUAGAUCCACAUAACCACUUGCAACAAGGUUUCUUUCCCCAAAAUCCAAGAAAUCCCAUUCUACUUCCUCAAUAUCCUUUGAACAAUGCACAAUUGUAUACUUAUCCAUCUUCUUAUCCACAAUGGCAUGCACCUGUCCCUCAACAUCGUCCUCGACCCCCACAAAUUUACCAAGGAACCUCUAAAUCCAAGUUUCAUCCGAGGCCAGAGUUCGCAAAGAGGAGGAAGGAAAAAAGAUAAUUUCAUUCCUAUUGGAGAAUCCUAUGCCAGUUUAUUCCAUAGAUUAGUACAACAGGGCAUGAUCACUCCUCUCCUUGGGUAUACUCCUGACCCACAUGCAAUAAGUUUUGAUCCUAAUGUACGAUGUGCAUAUCAUUCUGAUGUUCAAGGUCACAGUAUUGAAGAUUGUCGUGCUUUGAAAAGAGAAAUUGAAAAGAUGAUUCAAGAUAAAAAAAAUUAUGGUGCAGACCAUUGACAGUGAGGGGAACUCUAGUCAUGCUGAUAUGCAAACCAGUGGCUAAAAUGUUAGGCUGAGUAAUUGAGAAGUCACCUCUCUCUCUACUAGGAAGAGGUCUGGUAGUUUUUUUUGUUUUAUUUUUUGUUAUCUGAAUUAUUUCAGGGUUGUAGUCCAGGAUUUAUCUUGUUUUGUCCUAUUGUCGUUUAUGUUCAAACCCUUCUAUAUUUUGUUUCAACUAAAUGAAGUGUCCCAUUUUCCUUUGUGUUUUAAAUAUGUGUUGUUUAUUUAUUUUCUUUACAUAGUACAUUUUAUGUUGACUCUAGUGAUAUGACAUGCUAGGAAAAUUUUCAGCCAGAUCUUAAAAUCCAGUUUAAGCAAGAGCAUUGAAUCAGAGGGUUAAAGUUAGAAAAAGACAGCGUCUGAGAAAAUAGAUAGAGUGUCGGGGCAUUUGAUGAUCAAGUUGAAGCCUUCUUUGAAAAUUAAGGAAAUUAUUUUGAGAAUCGUGAGAAUAACUUGGUUAGCAUUUGUAAGACAUGUCUCAAUUAUGUCAAAUAGUGGAUGUGUGAUCCUACAUCAAAAGAAAUAGAAAAAUUAGCUCCACGAAAGCAUGAGGAAUGCACAACAAAGAUGGAGUUUGCAGAAGAAGUAGCGACGCACAGUCUUAGUUAAAAUUAGUGUUGUAAAAAAAUCACAAAUGAUCUUCAUCUGUCACUUUCAUAUUGCAUGAUAUGUACUUGCAUUUUCAAGGAUUGAUAUGACGAAGGCAUUUCAUUCUGCUAUCCAAACAUCGUGUCAUCCUUUGUUUACCCCAUUUGAGCUUUAGUCCUAUUUUCUUUCAUACCCCUCUUUUGGAAUCAAGAUAGAGUCAGCAAAGCUUAAAAGAAAAGUGUCGAGCAAAACAAUAGAGUCAGAAAGUUUCAAAAAGAAACGAGAGAAAAAAUGUGUCCAAAAGAAGAAAAAUAAAAGAGCGUCAAGAAAAAAUAGAGUCAGAAGGUCCCAAAAAGAAAAAAAGAAGUCAAUAAAAGAGUUAACAAAAGAAAAAAAAAAAGAAAAAAUUAGAAUCAAGAAAAAGAACAAGCCGUCAGAACUAUGCGUGACCUGAUUCUCCUCUCUCGGGGCUGAGAUACGUCGGCUGCCCUACCCUGGGCUUGGUCCAACCAAAUAAAUAGUUUAGAAUUGCCCUGUCAAAAGAAACUGGGGCAUGAGUUAAUCCUCAUUGUUUGAGUUGAUUCCAAAAGUUGUAAGUCCUACCCCACUUCAAGUGUCGUUUUGGUCUCAUGUCAUCCUUUCUUUCUAACCCUAUCCAAAAGCCAAGUUACAACCAAAAAAAGUCCUUUAAAUUAAUCUUCGAGGAUGUUAAGGCUAAGCAUGCAAGGUAUAUGAUGAUGCAUUUGGGAACUACUUAUCUUCCUCAGCAUAAGAAAUCAGGAGAAAAAUAAAAAUGAGAGAGUCUUAUUAGUGAAAAUCCUCACGGGCACCAUAAGACGAUGGUAAAUUGAGAGAGAUAAAAAUGAGAGAUUCUUAUCGGUGAAAACUCUCACGGGCACCGUAAGAUGACAAUGAGUUAAGAGAAAUGAAGAUAAGAGAGUCUCAUUAGUGGAAAACCCUUACAGACACCAUAAGACAAUGAUGAACUGAGAAAAAAAAUGAGAGAAGCUUAUUGGCGAAAAUCCUUCAAGGCGCCACUAGCCGAAUGGGGUCUUAAAUGCAAUUGACCUAAGAAAGUAACUCAGUUUCAAGGCUGUUAACUCAACAACAAUUGGUAAAAAGUUUGGAUGAAAAAAUCGAACUGCUUAAUCCAAAAUGCAUGGCAUAAUCAUUAGAGUUGACUAUCAUUUUUUCGAUGAAUUUGUAUUUUCUUUGUUUCAAACGGGGAUAUUCAUUGUCUUUUCUUUCUUCUCUAUAUUUUGUUUAUUUUUCUUGAGUCAGUUAUCCAAAUAAAAAUUAUCAUUCUAUUUUCUUUUAUUGUCUUUGAGUCAAGUCCGUGUCAAAAUAAAAGAGAAAAGAUUUCAAAACUAGCUACCAGCUUCAUCAAUUGCACAGAGCAAGACAAAAUCUAGCACAUAAAAGAGACAUGAUUGUGAGCCAAAAAGGGUAUCUAGAAAGUUUUGCCAACAGAGAAGUCGGGGAACUCAUGUAAAUGCCAAGGUUCAAAGGCCUAUCUAAGAAGCAUGGCAAUGCAAAGAUAUAAUGUUCGUUUCAGUCACUCUUAAUGACCUGAUUUUGAGUCAAUGAUGCAGCAAGUCAAUGAUAUAUGCUACUGGUUGGAAGCAAGGUUAAAUGUGAUUAGGGAAAGGGAAAAGAGCGAUUGCCUCAAAAGCCAAAGCCACAAACCAGCCACCAUGUUUUAAACUCAGAAGUUUUCUUUGUAUGAAACAGGAACAUGUUACCUUCAAAUUAAGGAUUUCUAAUCUCAAACAACAAAGGCCAUAAUUUCUCACUUCUACAAAGGCAAGAGGCAAUGUUGAUGCACAGGUUUGAUAAUCCAUUCAUGGUAAAAUUCAUCAUCUUAUAUCCCUCGGAGACACACUUUCUUGUCCAGGGAUUUUGGUUUUCAUUUGCUGGGUGAUACACUUCUUAAAUUGAACCUUCACUCCUAGAAGACGUACCUUCUAGUCGAGUUAUUCUAUUUGAAUCCUAGAAGACAUACCUUUUAGUCGAGUCAUUUCCCUUGAUUCCUAGGAGACGUACCUUUUAGUCGAGUCAUUUUCUUUGAUUCCUAUAAGACAUACCUUUUAGUCGAGUCAUUCCACUUGACCUCUAGAAGACGUACCUUUUAGUUGAGUCAUCCUCCUUGAUUCCUAGAAGAUGUAUCUUUUAUUCCAGUUAUCCCCUUGACCCCUAGAAGACGUACCUUUUAGUCGAGUCAUUCCCCUUGACUCUUAGAAGACGUACCUUUUAGUCGAGUUAUUUCCUUUGAUUCCUAUUAGACAUACCUUUUAGUUGAGUCAUCCCCUUUGAUUCCUAUAAGAUGUACCUUUUAGUCGAGUCAUUCUCCUUGACCCCUAGAAGACGUACCUUUUAGUCGAGUCAUCCCUUGAUUUCUAUAAGAUGUACCUUUUAGUCGAGUCAUCUCCCUUGACCUCUAGAAGACACACCUUUUAGUCGAGUCAUACUCUUUGAUUCCUAUAAGAUGCACUUUUAGUUGAGUCAUUCCCUUUAAUUCCUAUAAGACGUACCUUUUAGUCGAUUCAUUUCCUUUGAUCCCUAGAAGACGUAUUUUUUAGUCAAGUCAUUCUCCUUGAUUCCUUUAAAACGUACCUGUUAGUCGAGUCAUUCCCUUUGAUUCCUAUAAGACGUACCUUUUAGUCGAGUCAUUCUCCUUAAUUCCGAUAAUGAUAUGACUUUCACAAAAGUCCUUUGAUGAUAAACUGGGGCAAAAUUUAAUUCUUGUUUUUGGAACUUUACUUUUCUGGCAAACGAAAUUUCUCUUUAUAAAAUAAUUUUUGUUUGGGAUAAUUUUCUUUCUAGUUUUGAUGUGAUUUCAGGAGCCUGCCCAGAGCACAGGGCGAAUAAAUGGAAAACCAAGCAACAAGGGGAAGAAAUUAAAAGUUAAACAAAUUGAAAAAUAGCAAGUCAGGAGCCUGCCUGCAGAACAGGGUGAAGAAAUUGAAAGCAUAGCAACAAGUUGAUAAAAUGGCAAGUCAGAAACCCACCUGAAGAACAGGGUGAGAAAUUUAAAACCAAGCAACAAGUGAUGAAAUUGCAACUUAGGAGCCCGCCUAAAGAACAGGGUGAAGAAAUUGCAAGUCAGGAGCCCGCCUGAAGAAUAGGGUAAUGAAACUCAAGUCAAGAGUCCAACAAAACCUGCGUAGAUAGGAUUUUGUAAUUUCAUUUAUGUUUUUUAACUUGUAAUUUUUAUUUUGAUGUAAUGACAGAGCCGCGGACCGGGACCUCGAUGGAACCUCACUCGACUCUCCAACUCGGUAUAGUUCAUUUUCUUCCAAUCUUUUGGGAUACCUGUCAAUUGAUUCCCUCAUAACUUGGGUAGGUAGGUUGUCCUAAGUCAAGAUUUGGUUGUCCUUCUUCCUUCUAUUUCCUUCUUUGAAUAAUGAUCGGGACAAAAUUCUGUCUCAUUGUCUACUUCUUUAUAUGAAAACACUCUGUGUUUACAUUCAAAGGGGGCAUGAUGUAGAUGCAUAAUUUUGUCCCUCCAAAAGAUUAAUUUUCACAUUUUUACCUUAUCCUAUUAUGUACCCUCAACCAUGUAAUUAUCCCUUCAUAAAAUGACAAAAAUAACAACCCUUAGCAAAUUUUAUCUUACUUUAAUCCUAUCCUGACAACCUCUCCAAUUAAAUUAGGACAAAUACCCUUACCCCUCACCCCACUCACGUGUCCCACACAAAUACACAUAUUUUCAUCAAUACACAGAGAGGAUUUUUCUAUUUUUGAAUUUGGGCAUUCAUAGACACACGGGGGCCCACGGGGAAUAUUGGAUAACUUCCAUUCUUUCAUAUUGAAAACAAAUAUAUACAGCACACUACAUUCAAAAAGAGGUCCCAAACAUAUCAUUCCACUGUUAACAAAUUGACACAAAAGAACAAAAAGAUGAAUCGAGAACACAACAACCUCUCCAUAUUUUUUACGGAUACCAUCAGAGAAUAGACGGACUUCAUUAUCAUCUCAUCUUCUCCAAAAGGGAACUCACAAAAAUAAAACAGAGAGAGACCACCAUUACACAACCUCAAUUUUUCAUUCAAGACACUCACUUAUUUUAUAGGCACAAAUGCUCACCGAUACACCACUCAUCACGACCAUGGAUUGAAUUCUCAUACACACAGCUAUAGAAAUACAUGCUAAGGAAGAGGAGAGAAGGGAUUCGAUCGAAAAAAUAAUUCUCCUUCACAACCCGCACACACAGACACACCGAAUCACGCACACACUUCUCAUGAUACACUGAUUCAAACGCAUAAUUAGAGAUGGACGAAAGAGGAGUGAUGAGGGUUGAGGGAGAAACAUAAAUUUGGCGUUUGUGUUACUAUUCCGACGAUGGUCUCACCGAAAAAGCUUUGUUACUACAUCGUUCACGAUUCGUAUUUAUCUCUAUCGAGUCCGUCAAGCUCCGGUGCAGCUAACUCAUAAACUAAAACACGAUUCUAUCAUCUCGAGUGCACUGUCUGGACAAUUUCAAACGGAAAACAGUCCUUUAUAUCGAUCCUUAUUAUCCAUUCAGUAUGGGGGUUCCCCCUAUCUUCGAAUUGUUUAGGUUUAGGCUUAUUUUUACUCUUGGGUGUUGAGAUUGGAAUUUCUUUGUUGGGAUUUCUGUUCGGAGAUUUGUUAUUUUCGUUCAAAAUUAUCGAUUUGGGAGGUAUAUUGAGUGGUGUUGCUGCCUUCGAAUUUGUUUGGAAUGGGAUUUGCAAUAUUGAGCUGGUGUUGAUCGUUUUGAGGCUUUUGGUUGAGGAUUUCAGACUUCAGUUUUCAUCAAUUCAUUAUUAUCAGUGAAAAAUCUACUCUUUUAAGGUGCAAUUCUCCCCUCUCUCUUCCUUUAUUUUAAUUUUGAUGCAAUUGUGGAUGUGAUUCGAUCUCUCUAUUGAUUUGGGUGAUGUUUGAUAAUGUUUGGUUUUGAAUAAUUGAUCUCAAUGGC